rnacentral:tRNA from 1 species
AGGUGAGUAGCUCAAUUGGUUAGAGCAGCGGUCUCCAAAACCGCAGGCUGCGGGUUCGAGUCCUGCCUCACCUGCCA